GCCUACGGGUGGCUGCAGUGGGGAAUAUUGGACAAUGGGGGGAACCCUGAUCCAGCCAUGCCGCGUGUGUGAAGAAGGCCCUCGGGUUGUAAAGCACUUUCAGUGAGGAAGAACGCCUGGUGGUUAAUACCCAUCAGGAAAGACAUCACUCACAGAAGAAGCACCGGCUAACUCCGUGCCAGCAGCCGCGGUAAUACGGAGGGUGCGAGCGUUAAUCGGAAUUACUGGGCGUAAAGCGCGCGUAGGUGGCUUGAUAAGCCGGUUGUGAAAGCCCCGGGCUCAACCUGGGAACGGCAUCCGGAACUGUCAAGCUAGAGUGCAGGAGAGGAAGGUAGAAUUCCCGGUGUAGCGGUGAAAUGCGUAGAGAUCGGGAGGAAUACCAGUGGCGAAGGCGGCCUUCUGGACUGACACUGACACUGAGGUGCGAAAGCGUGGGUAGCAAACAGGAUUAGAUACCCGAGUAGUC
rnacentral:rRNA from 1 species